GGAGCCCCGCCCCGCAACGCCCUCGGCUGACGCGGCAGGGGGAAGGCCUGUGCGGCUUGAAGGCAGCCUGUACAUCGCUUCUCCUCCAGGUCUCCGGUAGCUCGCCGUGAUCGUAUAGUGGAGCUGCUGUUUCAUUCUUGAAAACUAAGCCACUCGGAAAAUGGCUCCCUCGAGUAAUUCUCUAAUGCUCUGAAAAUGGCUUAAAAUCAAAGUUUAUAAUCCCUUCCUUCUGGAAAAUCGGUGUCUAAGUCUUAUUCAACCUUGGCAAAAAACUAUGACCCUGUGACUUUGCAGUAUUGUUCCCUUUUUUAAUGUUCGUUUUUACUAACAGAAUAAAUAUAUACAAGUCUAA